rnacentral:lncRNA from 1 species
CAUUAGCAGGUCUAAAGAACUUUUGCCAUUAACCUAUCCUCCAUUUCUUCUCUCUCAGCUCCUGUCACAAGCAAUUAAUGAAGACUCCCGUGCCUUUUGGAUGUUUUUGGAUUUCUACUAGAAGAAAGUUGUCGAGCCGUGCAUCCUCUUAAGACCAAGUGUCUGUGUGAAGUCAGAAACAUCAAUGUUUCAAGGGAUCUUCUUCAAGACGUCAUUGAAGUGGAUGGAUCGGGGAGAGCGCACUUUCAUGACAAUGUCGUCGCCGGGACUUUUCCGUGUGAGCAGAUGCAUAUCAGUUCCUCAUCACAUAUGUGUCCACCCACUGAAGAACUUCAUCUUCAUCUCGCUCGUCGUUGGUGUCGCUGGUGUGUGACGGGCCCCGUUCGUCUCAUCCAGAGCCACUUCUCAUUUCUACACUUCUGUGUUUUCAUUUGGAUUCUCACCGGCCACAAACCCAGAGGAGUCGGGAGAAGUGCUCGCCGCCACCGAGAGAGGCUGUUUUACAUUAAAAAUGCUUUUGAGUUGAGGUAACAUCAUGCUUUAAUAAUGUACAACACCAGGCAGCACGGAGCAAAAUGCAUUUU